rnacentral:lncRNA from 1 species
GACAAGUAAGAGGCUCUUAUGGAGUCCCUCAACUCUUUUGAAUCUGAGAUGGAGUCAGACGGACAGGGAAACUACUCUCUUUUUCCUGGACUGGACAGUAUUCCUAGCUUAUCCGGGACUGCUGAAACAUUGGAAAGUGAGGCUCCCAAUGAAAUUGCUGAUAAGCCAAAUCUCACAUGGCUUGAUGCUGCACAGAUUGUGUUAGAAGAAGAAGGACGACCAUGCACAUCAAGGAAAUCAAACAAAGAAUCCUUGAAAGGGGACUUGUCCAGUCAAAUGCAAAGUCAAGUCUGGAGGCUGUCAUGUAUCGCGAGACACAAAAAGGGAGCAGGAGAUUCAAGAGGAUUGAGAACAGAAACGGAGUCUUUGCUUUGCUGA